CAAGUAAAGUGGCGCACGGGUGAGUAACACGUAAGCAAUCUUACCUUUAGGUUUGGAAUUAACUCCGAGAAAUCGGGGCUAAUACCAGAUGAUGCAGCGAUACCGCAUGGUAAUGCUGUUAAAGUUUAUAUGGCACCUAAAGACGAGCUUGCAUCUGAUUAGCUUGUUGGUAAGGUAAUGGCUUACCAAGGCAACGAUCAGUAGCUGGUCUGAGAGGAUGAUCAGCCACACUGGAACUGAGACACGGUCCAGACUCCUACGGGAGGCAGCAGUGAGGAAUAUUGGGCAAUGGGCGAAAGCCUGACCCAGCAACGCCGCGUGGAGGAUGAAUGUCGUAAGAUUGUAAACUCCUGUUAGAGGGGAAGAAUAAUCCCGAUCGACUCGGGACAUGACUGUACCCUCAGAGAAAGCUCCGGCUAACUACGUG
rnacentral:rRNA from 1 species